UACGAAGGGGGCUAGCGUUGUUCGGAAUUACUGGGCGUAAAGCGCGCGCAGGCGGUCUUCCAAGUCAGUGGUGAAAGCCCGGAGCUCAACUCCGGAACUGCCAUUGAAACUGUAAGACUUGAGUACGAGAGAGGUGAGUGGAAUUCCCAGUGUAGAGGUGAAAUUCGUAGAUAUUGGGAAGAAUACCGGUGGCGAAGGCGGCUCACUGGCUCGUAACUGACGCUCAGGCGCGACAGCGUGGGGAUCAAACAGG
rnacentral:rRNA from 1 species